rnacentral:rRNA from 1 species
CACGUAGGGUGCGAGCGUUGUCCGGAAUUAUUGGGCGUAAAGAGCUCGUAGGCGGUGUGUCGCGUCGGCCGUGAAAACCUGCAGCUUAACUGUGGGCGUGCGGUCGAUACGGGCAUCACUGGAGUUCGGCAGGGGAGACUGGAAUUCCUGGUGUAGCGGUGAAAUGCGUAGAUAUCUGGAGGAACACCGGUGGCGAAGGCGGCAUCCUGGACCGAUACUGACGCUGAGGAGCGAAAGCCAGGGGAGCAAACGGG